ACUUUAAAUUUAAAUAUACACACACAUAUGCGUUUUAAUCUUUGGAAAUGGCUUAGUUUUUUGACCUCCACUGUUCACACACACACACAUGCACAUACUCGUUUAGACAUGCCUGUAUGUGUGCACAGUGGGGAUCAGCUCUAGAGAUAGUGAAUCAAAUACUCGUAAAAACGAAAAAAUGAAAACCAAAACCGAUUAAAUUUAAUGCUUUUUCCGCCACAAGGGACUCUAUUGAUUGGGAGUUCCAACUACAGAUCGGCCGGAAUAUACAUAUAAUUGCUGGUGUCUGUGCAAGUAUUUUGAGCACGCCUUCGCCUCCGCCACCGCCACCGCCACUGCCACUUGUCCACACGCUGUCACACAGUAAUUAAGCCAAUUGACCUCGCCAGGCUCUGUCCGUCCGUCAGUCCCUCUACCGUUUGGCCAAGUCUUUCAGCGGCAGCGACAACAUUUUAUUAAAAGUGAAAAAUAUAAAUAAAUAAUAUCAAAAGCAGUGGCAGUGGCAGAGGCAGAGGCGGCGGUUCACAAAGUGCCGCAAACGGAGGGGAACACUAAUGAUGGGACUCGGUCGGGGAUACUUGAAGCCCUCUUGCCUCUCGCCUCUCGCCCCCGCCUCUCUGACACUCUUCUGUGUGCUUGUGUCAAAGCGCAUAGCUAAGCAAGGAAGGAAGGUACAGAGGCAGCGUCAGAUGCAGAGACAGUAAGCGUAAGCGGGCACAGCUGCGGUCAAGAUAAUAGCCACCUUCAGCCUACAUUUUAGCCGCUUAGUGGAUCACUGGCAUCGCUUUAAUGUUUUGAUUGAAGUAAUACCAAAAUUGCGCAAGGAUCAUCAGAACACACAGCCAAGUCGGUUUCGGUUCAUUGUCAUCUGAUUGGGUAAUUGAAAGGAACGUGUUGGGAGGAGAUUUGAAGCUUGACUGAAAGUACUAUUAUUUUGGCCGCAACUAGCAAAGGAGUCGAGCGCACACUCACACACAGAUGCACAUCAAGAGAACAAGGGGGGCCGGCACACACAGAGCAGUUAUCCUGCGAAAGGAAAGUGGAGCUAUUUGAUGUGAUGUGGAGUCUCAGUCAAGCCUCCCCCUCACACGUCCUCUCAGAGCCUUGCCGCAAAGACGUUGUCUGCUAAAGUGGACUAGGACCUAGGCACGUCACUCCCACCGCCAACGCUCUGUCGUCAGACGAAACACAAAAGCGGCGGCUUGUUCAAAAACUAGACAAAUAUUAACUCAUAUGCAGCUUGAGGUUGAGUGCCGCCUUUGUCGCUCCCAGCAUGACAGUGUGUGAUUCCGUUUUGAUUGCAGUUUGAGCACAAUGCAUUUGCAGAACACCACAAAUGGCGCUACUUUUGUUAUCAUCCAGAGGAAUCAUCCAAGGAGCCGAACCAAUGCACAAGUUUAAUACCACAAAUUAUUAUUUAUUCACUUAUUUUGUUUACCGAA